CGGCACGUGACCGGCCGCAUGAGCCCUAGAGCAAUGCCCUAAAGAUCAUGCAAGGCCUAAGAUAAACAACAAUUCAAUAAAUCUACAACUAAUUAAUUAAUUCAAAUUGACAAAUCCGACAUGUCCAAAUAAAUAAUCGGUUCAAUUACAAGAUUUUCAAAUGUUCAUCAAUAAAAGAUAAGCUGCUUCUAACUAUCUAGCAGUCUGACUCCAGAUCGAUCUCACUUCUUGUCCCACUCGACAGAUCCUACGAAUCCAGUGCCUCUGGAAAAAAAAUGUAAGUGUAGUAUGAGCUUUUCCAGCCGAGUAAGAAUUCCAACAGCCACACACAGUAAUAAUGAUAAAAUCAUCAAAAUAACAAAUAAAUGUCAUUUAUCAUUUCAAAAGCUCAAUAAACAACAAGUAUAUAUAACCAUUUCAUAUACAUAAAUUCUUUUUCACAUUAUGUGAUCCAUUCACAUAUUACUCUGAUUCCCAAGUUUUAGAAUUUAUCACUUCUGGCUUUGGACUAACCAAGAUCAUGACCCAAUCCAAGACUGCACAAAUCCCAUGCAUAAGCUCGUGUCAGCUAUUUCACGCGUAAGCCCAUGGAGGUUAUCCUACGCAUAAGCUCGUAGAGGCUAUCCCACGCGUAAGCCCGUGGAGGCUAUCCUACGCAUAAGCUCGUAGAGGCUAUCUCAUGACAAGGUUAGUCCAACCCGUUUUACAUGUCUAGUUUUGCAUAUUUAAUCACAUUUCCAUCACAUCACAUAUUUUCAUAAAUUCUCAAAAAUAUGUUAAUUCUUCCCAAUUUAAUUAUUUCAAUAUUUUCAUAACAAAAUGCCCAUCUCAUAUGUAUCAUACAAGCUCGUAAAAUUAAUAUCAACAUACUGAUAAAAAUAUAUCCAAAGAUAAAUUCCAUACAUGCAUAAAUAGAGGUGCUCAGUUGUAGGGAUUCUUACUGAGAUUGUAGACUGACUCAAACACGGAUCCGAAUCACAACCUACGCGCUGGGGUGCUGAGUUCUCUGAUCAAAAUCUCCUGGCACCGCUGACUCUUCCCCUACAACAUCAAUUAUAUUUCACAGACUAAAUUAUUCAAUAUUUAAAUAUUCUAAAACAUAAUUCACAUCUACUAUGGGGUCCAUCACCAGGUCUCCAAACAUCUCAAUCCUUCCACAUCUAGGGCAGUCGGGGUGCCCCGACCCCCACUCUUGUACCACCGGCCUGUGUCGUCGCCAGCCGGGGCCGCUGCCAUGCCGGCGACGAUGGUCGGUCUCGGUGAAAAGACCAAGAGAAAGGGAUGAUUCCUCUCUCUUCAUGGUUGGAAAUACAUCUUCCUUCCUCAAAUCUUUUUUGGUCCAAGGGUAAUAGCCAUGGUGGCUGCCCUCUCCUUCCCUAACCCGAUACACCUCGGCCACCACUGGCCGAACCAUCGCCGGCCGCCACGGUUGCCGUCGCCGGCGAUGGUGGCCGGCCAAAAGAAAGGGAAAAAGAAGAGAUCUUUCCUCUUCUUCUCCAAGAACCGGCAGCCCUCUUUCCUCCCUUCCCCCUCCCCCAUCAUCCACGGAAGACCCGCACGGAUCCUCACAGCCACCGUGAUGGUGGCUCGGCCCCCACCCGACGGCACCCAACCGCCGUCCUCGCCGUCGGUGGCCAACCGACGAGGGGAAGAGGAGGAGAGGAUGGGAUCCCGAGGAAGAAGACCUCGGAUCCACCCUCCCUCAUCACAUACACAGCCUAUAAAACCCUCUCCGACCCCCUCACAGACCUGACCAACCCCACCCGCCAUGAAUCCCGGCCAACCCGGCGGCCGGCGGCGGCAAAAUCCGGAAGAGAGAGGCCGAAAUAGGGGUACCCUGUUUCGGACUCUUCCCCGACGAUUCGCCGGCCAAAAUCCCAAUCCAACACAGCCUAACCCUAGCAAAGGAAACACAAGAGGUGAGCCAUGCAUACCUCGGUCUGAUAGGGGUGUUUCGGCGAUCCUUCCGGCGAGAAAUCGGAGGAGGAACCGUGAGCAACUCCCCCCUCAGAUCCCACACUUCUUCACCCGAUUUGCGGGAGGUCUUCACCGAAGAAAACUUCCUCCGCGGCCGGCCGGAUCUCGGUCUCCUCUCCGGCGCUCGGUCCUCUCCGGUGAUCAACCCUCCAACGCCGCUGCAGCCCCCCUUUGCACCCUCCCUUCAUCCACGAUCGUAAAAAGGGGGAUGGGCCCGGUCUUUUCGGGCCGGCCCGUCACCCUUUCCUUUUUUUUUGGGUAUUACAUACUCUCCCCCUUAAAAAAAUUUCGUCCUCGAAAUUAACUUACUUGAAGCCUCAAACUAUAAAAAAAUAUACAUCCAUCACAUCAUCCCUGAGAUCUCAAAUAGUCUCCCUCUUGGAGUACCUACUCAUAAGAUUUUGACAUACAAAAAUCACAGCAUUUCAAAACUUGAUCCUUUCUAUUUACCACACGUAGUAAGUUCUUUUGAUCUCCUUCAAAAGAAUUUCAAACUCCCAACCUUGGAUUAAAAUGCCAUAAUUAUAUCCCAAAGAAAUUAAUUUCUCUUGAUUCUACACAGAGAUCAUAAUUGGCUUGACAGAAAUAGGAGAAAUCUUUAGUAUCAAAUGCUCUUAAUAUUCUAUAAUCAUUUUUCUUUUUUUAACUUUGCCAGUGAUUAAAUGAUCAAUCUUUAUCCUAGGAAAACCGCAAACCUGUUCAAAUAGGUAUAUUAAUAAUGUCAGAGCUAGGAGUCGAAGAACUAUGUUAAAUCAUUCCAGGCCCAAGCUUAAUCACAGAGCUAUCAAUCCGUUAACGCUAAAUUUGAGAUGCCCCAAAAUUCUUCUUAGAAUUAUCAAAAAUAGGAAAGCCCAUAACUACUUCCAGUAGGCAAAGAUUCAACGACAUUCCCCUCUACUAGAAAACUAACUCAAGUCUUCCAUAAUAAUACCUUUCAGAUCAAGAUAUUAUUAUUAUUAUUAUUAUUUUAAUCGGUUUCAAAAUAACUCAAACCACUACACUUCUGCUGCGCACUCUGAUCUAACUCAUCAAAUUCUCUAAAGUCACAAAAUGAUUUCUGACCAAAGUAUCCCUUUGCAUUGAGACUAAGAAAAUCUAAAUUUUAAAUUUUCAAGUAGAACUAGAGCAAAACCUCUAGAUCUUUUUGUCCUCGAUUUAUAUAGAGUAUACUUACCAUAACUAACCCCCAAUCCUUUAGUCAAGUUUAAGGUCACUACGUGAUCUCCACAACCUUCUUAGAAUCCAAAAAUAUCUAUGUUUAAUUUAAAUGGGGUAAUUCUUGUAUUCCCUUAGCAAUUUAAUUAGAAAAUCUACAUUGAUUUUCCUUCCAACAGAAUUUACUUCAAAUUCAAUGGGUUAGAACUGUUGAGCCAAUAUCACUAUGAGUAGGAAUUAACUCUAUCAACCUCCAAAUCCUUCUUCACCAAAAUUCUUAAUAUCUAUGAUCAAUGCUACACAUAAUAACUCACAUAAGCAUCUCAAAAUCGAAAUCUCUACUCAAUAUUGUAUUUUACAAUGACAAAGAUUUCUGGUUAGAUCAUAAAUCUAGACUUGAGUUCAAGUUAACACAUCCAAUAAUCUCCAACAAUUAUAAGAAAAAUUCAGGAGCCCAAUCCAAAUAUACAAAUUCAAAUAAUUAGAAUACUCCACCAAUUUGCAUACUAUAUGGCCUUAAGAAUUUAAUCCACUAAUAGAAAUAUGCCAAUUUACAAUAUUCAAACAUGUCAAUUCCAAAUAUAAUCCACAUACAGAUUUAACCUCGAAAAACAUUCUUUUCAAUAUUAUGAAAUCUUCUUAGCUCACUCCAAUACUAAAUCAAUGUACAAAUCCCACUCUAAUAAUUAGCAGCAAAACCAAAAGUACGAUCACAUCAAAACCCAUAUCAAGUUUGAACUUCCAGAUCAUUUAAAUAAUAUCUGAACAUGGUAUAACCGAUAUGUCAUUGCUGACCUACACUUAUCUUAGGUCAAAUUUCUCUUAUCAUGAUCAAAGACAAUUUAUACUUUUCUUCCACACUCAUCGAAAACCAAAUCCGAUGCAUACUUUUUAUCACAAUGCUCAGUGAUCUUACAGCUUAAGCACUGAAUUUAAUUGUCAUAUCCCAAGUGAUCAUAACCUGAAGCUAUGAUAUAAUUCUGUCACAAUCCCUAGUGAUCUUAAACAUAUGCUCAGAUUCCAAUUUUGUCACUAUCCCCAUUGAUCUUAAACCUCAAACUCUAAUGCCACUAAGGCCACAGUCCCUAGUGGUCUUAAAACUUAGAUUAUAAUAUCAUUUCUGUUACAAUCUCAAGUGAUUAUAAACCAAGGCUCUAAUAGUUUUCCUAUCAUAACUUCCCACUCACACUCACCUGAACCUAAAUCCUAGGAUACCUUAACCUUAAGCUCUGAUACCAAAUCUGUCACGCCCCGAUCCCAUCACCCGGAUCCGGCACGUGACCGGCCGCAUGAGCCCUAGAGCAAUGCCCUAAAGAUCAUGCAAGGCCUAAGAUAAACAACAAUUCAAUAAAUCCACAACUAAUUAAUUAAUUCAAAUUGACAAAUCCGACAUGUCCAAAUAAACAAUCAGUUCAAUUACAAGAUUUUCAAAUGUUCAUCAAUAAAAGAUAAGCUGCUUCUAACUAUCUAGCAGUCUGACUCCAGAUCGAUCUCACUUCUUGUCCCACCCGACAUAUCCUACGAAUCCAGUGUCUCUGAAAAAAAUGUAAGUGUAGUAUGAGCUUUUCCAGCCCAGUAAGAAUCCCAACAGCCACACAUAGUAAUAAUGAUAAAAUCAUCAAAAUAACAAAUAAAUAUCAUUUCAUCAUUUCAAAAGCUCAAUAAACAACAAGUAUAUAUAACCAUUUCAUAUACAUAAAUCCUUUUUCACAUUAUGUGAUCCAUUCACAUAUUACUCUGAUUCCCAAGUUUUAGAAUUUAUCACUUCUGGCUUUGGACUAACCAAGAUCAUGACCCAGUCCAAGACUGUACAAAUCCCACGCAUAAGCUCGUGGCAGCUAUCCCACACGUAAGCCCGUAGAGACUAUCCUACGCAUAAGCUCGUAGAGGCUAUCCCACGCGUAAGCUCGUGGCAGCUAUCCCACGCAUAAGCUCGUAGAGGCUAUCUCAUGACAAGGUUAAUCCAACCCAUUUUACAUGUCUAGUUUUACAUGUUUAAUCACAUUUCCAUCACAUCACAUAUUUUCAUAAAUUCUCAAAAAUAUGUUAAUUCUUUCCAAUUUAAUUAUUUCAACAUUUUCAUAACAAAAUGCACAUCUCAUAUGUGUCAUACAAGCUCGUAAAAUUAAUAUCAACAUACUGAUAAAAAUAUAUCCAAAGAUAAAUUCCAUACAUGCAUAAAUAGAGGUGCUCAGUUGUAGGGAUUCUUACUGAGAUUGUAGACUGACUCAAACACGAAUCCGAAUCACAACCUACGCGCUAGGGUGCUGAGUCCCCUGAUCAAAAUCUCCUGGCACCGCUGACUCUUCUCCUACAACAUUAAUUAUAUUUCACAGACUAAAUUAUUCAAUAUUUAAAUAUUCUAAAACAAAAUUCAUAUUUACUAUGGGAUCCAUCAUCAGGUCCCCAAACAUCUCAAUCCUUCCAGAUCUAGGGCAGUAGGGGUGGCCCGACCCCCACUCUUGUACCACCAGCCUGUGUCGUCGCCAGCCGGGGCCGCUGCCAUGCCGGCGACGAUGGCCAGUCUCGGUGAAAAGACCAAGAGAAAGGGAUGAUUCCUCUCUCUUCAUGGUUGGGAAUACAUCUUCCUCCCUCAAAUCUUUUUGGUCCAAGGAUAAUAGCCAUGGUGGCUGCCCUCUCCUUUCCUAACCCGACACACCUCGGCCACCACUGGCCGAACCAUCGCCGGCCGCCACGGUUGCAGUCGCCGGCGAUGGUGGCCGGCCAAAAGAGAGGGAAAAAGAAGAGAUCUUUCCUCUUCUUCUCCAAGAACCGGCAGCCCUCUUUCCUCCCUUCCCCCUCCCCCAUCAUCCACGGAAGACCCGCACGGAUCCUCACAGCCACCGUGACGGUGGCUCGGCCCCCACCCGACGGCACCCAACCGCCGUCGUCGCCGCCGGUGGCCAACCGAUGAGGGGAAGAGGAGGAGAGGAUGGGAUCCCGAGGAAGAAAACCUCGCUCCCUCAUCACAUACACAGCCUAUAAAACCCUCUCCGACCCCUUCACAGACCCGACCAACCCCACCCGCCAUGAAUCCUGGCCAACCCGGUGGCCGGCGGCGGCAAAUUCCGGAAGAGAGAGGCCGAAACGGGGGUACCCUGUUUCGGACUCUUCCUCGACGAUUCGCCGGCCAAAAUCCCAAUCCAACACAGCCUAACCCUAGCAAAGGAAACACAAGAGGUGAGCCAUGCAUACCUUGGUCCAAUAGGGGUGUUCCGGCGAGAAAUCGGAGGAGGAACCGUGAGCAACUCCCCCCUCAGAUCCCACGCUUCUUCUCCCG
rnacentral:lncRNA from 1 species